UGGGGAAUUUUGCGCAAUGGACGAAAGUCUGACGCAGCAACGCCGCGUGGGUGAUGAAGUCCCUUGGGAUGUAAAACCCUGUCAGCUGGGACGAAACGGCCCGCAAGGGUCCUGACUGUACCAGCAGAGGAAGCCCCGGCUAACUCCGUGCCAGCAGCCGCGGUAAUACGGGGGGGGCAAGCGUUGUUCGGAAUUACUGGGCGUAAAGGGCGUGUAGGCGGCCUAGCAAGUCAGCUGUGAAAGCCCCAGGCUCAACCUGGGAAUUGCAUCUGAAACUGCCGGGCUAGAGUUCAGGAGAGGAGGGCGGAACUCCCAGUGUAGCGGUGAAAUGCGUAGAUAUUGGGAGGAACACCGGUGGCGAAGGCGGCUCUCUGGACUGAAACUGACGCUGAGGCGCGAAAGCCAGGGGAGCGAACGGGAUUAGAUACCCCCGUAGUCC
rnacentral:rRNA from 1 species